rnacentral:rRNA from 1 species
CGGAUUAAUACACCAUAGUAUGAUGAGGAGGCAUCUCCUUAUCAUUAAAGUUCCGACAGUUAAAGAUGAGCAUGCGUGACAUUAGCUAGUUGGUGAGGUAACGCUCACCAAGGCCACGAUGUCUAGGGGGAUCUGAGAGGAUUAACCCCCACACUGGUACUGAGACAGGGACCAGACUCCUACGGGAGGCAGCAGUAAGGAAUAUUGGACAAUGGUGGCAACACUGAUCCAGCCAUGCCGCGUGAAGGAUGAAGGCCCUAUGGGUUGUAAACUUCUUUUGUACGGGAAAAAACCUUCUUACGUGUAAGAAGCUGAUUGUACUGUAAGAAUAAGGAUCGGCUAACUCCGUGCCAGCAGCCGCGGUAAUACGGAGGAUCCAAGCGUUAUCCGGAUUCAUUGGGUUUAAAGGGUGCGUAGGCGGAAUGAUAAGUCAGUGGUGAAAUCUCGCAGCUUAACUGCGAAACUGCCAUUGAUACUGUCAAUCUUGAGUACAU